GCAGUUGAUAAUGCACUGGACAAGACCGAAGAUCUCGAAAAAAAGGUGGACCGACUAAUGAGACAGGUGGAGGAGCUGUCAGUCCGUCAAAGAUUUUGUUUGGGGCGAUUUGCUGCUUCCGACGAUGAUAUAAGGUUCUACACUAGGUUCAUGACUUACAGGCAUUUAAUGAGUUUCUGGAAACUCAUUGAACCUGCAUCCCACAAAAUGAUUCGUGUCACCAGAGCAAGAGCAACUACAAUGAGGAGUGAAGCUGAAACAAGAGACAGUACAUGGGGUCAGUCCCUGCAGCCCAUUGAUGAGUUCUUCCUCUUC